rnacentral:lncRNA from 1 species
AUUCCAGGUAUGGAGUCAACCAGCAGUUGGUUCGGUCAAUGCACAUCACUACUUCAUGAUGAACACUAGGAUGUUGCAAAAUUUCCAGGUACACCGACCCUUCAAAAACAUUAACAUCCGUAGUGGCUAGUCUGACGAGUGCAUCAACAAUGGAAUUGUUAUUACGCUCGACCCCCCUGAAACUCGUAGAAUUGGAAAUACUGAAGCCGUUCUUUCAAUUCUGCCAAAUACUUGAUCAUUCUAGGGCCUCGAGCUUCGUAUUCCCCAGAGAAUUAUUUAACGAUUAACUGAGAAUCACUGAAGAUGAUUAUUCUCUGCACUUCAAGACUCUUCGCUAAUCGUAACCCUGCAAGUACUGCCUCAUAUUCCGCUUCGUUAUUCAUCGCUUUGAACUGAAACCUGAUGGCCUGCUGCACCUUGAAUCCCUCCGGACUCGUCAAGAUAAUCCCUGC